UCUACGGGGGGCUGCAGUGGGGAAUAUUGCGCAAUGGGCGAAAGCCUGACGCAGCGACGCCGCGUGGGUGAUGAAGGCCUUCGGGUUGUAAAGCCCUGUCGGGUGGAACGAACGAUCUGGCGGCGAAUAACCGCCGGGUGUGACGGUACCACCGAAGGAAGCCCCGGCUAACUACGUGCCAGCAGCCGCGGUAAGACGUAGGGGGCGAGCGUUGUUCGGAUUUAGUGGGCGAGGUGCGUCGGUUGGCGGCUCCCUCGGCUUAACCGAGGUCCCGAAUCCGAUACUGUCUGGCUCGAGUCUAGGAGAGGAAAGCGGAAUUCCCAGUGUAGCGGUGAAAUGCGUAGAUAUUGGGAGGAACACCGGUGGCGAAGGCGGCUUUCCGGACUAGUACUGACGCUGAGGCGCGAAAGCUAGGGGAGCGAACGGGAUUAGAUACCCUUGUAGUC
rnacentral:rRNA from 1 species